UUCCUGUGUGGGAGGGAGAGUGUCCCAAGGGGCCCUGGGUAGCCCCAUUUCCCAUUCCUCUCCCAGAAUGUUACACAGGGCAGGGAAAGUGGGUGGAGAGAGGCCAGGAGCCAGCCCAGAGCUCCCCAGGCCCCUGUGCACCUUUGGUCACGUCCAUUCACAUCUGGCUCCCACGGCCUUACCCGAUGCCCUUGCAGUGCCCAGUUCCCUGUGGCAGAAGGGGAUCCCAGCACACACAGAAAUGGUUCUGGUCUUUGCUCCCUUCUAGAAUUGGAUCAUGACUUACAUGACUUGGAAGUCCUGGUGAAUGACAUUUUGAAUGUCUUAGAGAAUGCUGGAGGCAAGUUCUGCAUUUCCGUUUUGACUGGCAGAAUAAUCCGUGUCCAUGUGGCAAAAGCUCACUCCUGGGCCAUUUGUUAAGUCAGGGUUGAAAGAUUCUGAAAACCUUGCCCUGCUCCCUUCUGGAGCCCUGAGGGAUCCCACAGGAUCACUGUCAUUGGGAGGAAGCAGCAUUUAGCUGUCCAUUUUCCUCCUGUGUGCAAUGCCAGUGUGUCCUUCCAUGUUCUCUGUGCAGACACAGAGAAGAGCAGAGAGGGAAGGGGCCGGGCCCAGGGCUGUGCCCCGGGGCUGAGCCUUGUGGGCAGCCUGAGGAUCACCUGCAGUGCCACAGGAGCUCUUCUGUCCUGCCUUUCUUUGCAGCUGAACCUGCUGGUGAAGGUGGUGCAGCUUCUGAACCCACAUCCAGGACUGAGGCUCUGGGAGAUGCUGAGGGUGUGUCUGCAGGGAGGACUUUCCCAGGUCCCUUGGUGGAUGUUGCACGCAAGCCCAGCUCCCGUCGCAGGGGUCCUCUGAGGGGAAAGAACAAAGCUACAGAACACCAGAAACCCCAUGAGCCAUCUGAAAACAUGAGGCAAAUGCUGAAGGAAAUGCAGCAGGCAGGAGGACAAGAACUGGAUGGAGAGGCUGGGCAGAAGACGGCGUUUCCUGGAGGAAGCAGUGGUUCUGUGCCAGCCUCUGUUGCAGGAAGGGAGGCCAUGCCAGGCACAGGCACAGGAG